UUAAGUUCAGCGGGUAGCUUGCCUGAUUUGAGAUCACGAGCACGGGCUGAUCGUCGACAAUGCUUGGGGGAGGGAAUGAUGGCUUGCACCACCCUCCUCGUACAUACCACGACGAUCGCGAGCAAUUCGGGGCGGUCAGUGCUGAGGGCCCAUGUCGACGCCGCAGGGGAUGCGACGGGUCACAACGGUAGCAUGAUUCU
rnacentral:misc_RNA from 1 species